rnacentral:rRNA from 1 species
AGAGUUUGAUCCUGGCUCAGAACGAACGCUGGCGGCAGGCCUAACACAUGCAAGUCGAACGCCCCGCAAGGGGAGUGGCAGACGGGUGAGUAACACGUGGGAACCUUCCCUAUAGUACGGAAUAGCCCAGGGNAAACUUGGAGUAAUACCGUAUACGCCCGAAAGGGGAAAGAAUUUCGCUAUAGGAUGGGCCCGCGUAGGAUUAGCUAGUUGGUGAGGUAAUGGCUCACCAAGGCGACGAUCCUUAGCUGGUUUGAGAGAACGACCAGCCACACUGGGACUGAGACACGGCCCAGACUCCUACGGGGGGCAGCAGUGGGGAAUAUUGGACAAUGGGCGCAAGCCUGAUCCAGCCAUGCCGCGUGAGUGAUGAAGGCCUUAGGGUUGUAAAGCUCUUUUGCCGGGGACGAUAAUGACGGUACCCGGAGAAUAAGUCCCGGCUAACUUCGUGCUAGCAGCCGCGGUAAUACGAAGGGGACUAGCGUUGUUCGGAAUCACUGGGCGUAAAGCGCACGUAGGCGGAUUCGUAAGUCAGGGGUGAAAUCCCGGGGCUCAACCUCGGAACUGCCUUUGAUACUGCGGGUCUUGAGUCCGAUAGAGGUGGGUGGAAUUCCUAGUGUAGAGGUGAAAUUCGUAGAUAUUAGGAAGAACACCGGUGGCGAAGGC